UUGAUACUUCCUCCGUCCCAAAAUUCUUGUCUUAAAUUCGUCUUUAUACGGAUAUAUCUAAUACUAAAACGUGACUUGAUACAUCCGUAUUUAGAUAAAUUUAAGAUAAGAAUUUUUUGGACGGAGGGAGUAUAUA
rfam:Triticum aestivum genome assembly, contig: Triticum_aestivum_CS42_TGACv1_scaffold_344626_4DL